GAUGAACGCUAGCGGCAGGCCUAAUACAUGCAAGACGAACGGUAAGUUUGAUAGCAAUAUUGAACCUAGAGUGUCGUAAGGGUGCGUAACACGUAUGCAAUCUACCCUCAACAGGAGGAUAGCUCCCCGAAAGGGGAAUUAACACUCCAUAAGAUCACAGGAUGGCAUCAUUCAGUGAUUAAAACUCCGGUGGUUGAGGAUGAGCAUGCGCAUGAUUAGUUAGUUGGCGGGGUAAUGGCCCACCAAGACGAUGAUCAUUAGGGGAACUGAGAGGUUGAUCCCCCACACUGGCACUGAGAUACGGGCCAGACUCCUACGGGAGGCAGCAGUAGGGAAUAUUGGACAAUGGGUGCGAGCCUGAUCCAGCCAUGCCGCGUGCAGGAAGACGGCCUUAUGGGUUGUAAACUGCUUUUGCCAGGGGAUAAAAGACCAUAGCGUGGUCAAUUGAAGGUACCUGGUGAAUAAGCCAGGCUAACUACGUG
rnacentral:rRNA from 1 species